rnacentral:rRNA from 1 species
UACGAAGGGGGCUAGCGUUGCUCGGAAUUACUGGGCGUAAAGGGCGCGUAGGCGGACAGUUUAGUCAGAGGUGAAAUCCUGGAGCUCAACUCCAGAACUGCCUUUGAUACUGAGGGUCUUGAGUAUGACAGAGGUGAGUGGAACUGCGAGUGUAGAGGUGAAAUUCGUAGAUAUUCGCAAGAACACCAGUGGCGAAGGCGGCUCACUGGGUCAUUACUGACGCUGAGGCACGAAAGCGUGGGGAGCAAACAGG